AUUGAACGCUGGCGGCAUGCCUUACACAUGCAAGUCGAACGGCAGCGCGGGGCAACCUGGCGGCGAGUGGCGAACGGGUGAGUAACAUAUCGGAACAUACCCUAGAGUGGGGGAUAACGUAGCGAAAGUUACGCUAAUACCGCAUACGCACUAAGGUGGAAAGUGGGGGAUCUUCGGACCUCAUGCUCAUGGAGUGGCCGAUAUCUGAUUAGCUAGUUGGUGAGGUAAAGGCUCACCAAGGCGACGAUCAGUAGCUGGUUUGAGAGAACGACCAGCCACACUGGGACUGAGACACGGCCCAGACUCCUACGGGAGGCAGCAGUGGGGAAUUUUGGACAAUGGGCGCAAGCCUGAUCCAGCAAUGCCGCGUGCAGGAUGAAGGCCUU
rnacentral:rRNA from 1 species